AAAGUACUCUGGAAAGAGAGUUCACAAGUGCGUGAAACUGGACACUGCAAAGCGAAUAGCUGUGCACUGUGCGACGCGGAUGGCUGCCUUCUUGCUUCGUGGCGCUAUCAUCAUAUCGUCACGUGUCAUCAUCGAGUUCUCCUUGGUGCCGUGCUGCCAUGUGUGAUGAUUUGCCCACGUGCAGUUGCGCACCUUACCGUGUCUAUGGCUGUUUGGCAGGCGAGUGGGCAAAAAAGCGUCAGCGCUAGAGGGCCUCCUAGAAGGUGCCGCCCUCUAUGUAAAUGCCGGUUUAAAUUUGAUUGCGCAUGGGACGCUUUUCAUCGCUUCUCGGACUCUCGCUCGCCUGCUCUGCAAUACCAGUCGUCUCAAUCCAUGUGCUGGCGCGUUGGUCGUGCACGUCCAUUUCACGCAAUGUACCUGUUGGUGUGUCAGUGUGGAGUGUGCUGCCGCCUGCGUUGCCUGCGGCUUGUGACACUAGGACAGCCUUUGUGUGCUCAGUGUUCGAACCGUCUUGAAACACGGACUAAGGAGUUCAACUUGAACGCAAGUCGUUUUCGACUUAGAGAGUAAAAAGGCGAAGUGAAAUCGACCCCACACUUGGGGCCUGUCAAUGGCUCGGGACGAUCUCGCGAUCGGAACGAUCGUCAAUGAAACAACGUUAUGGGUGACACGAGUGACACACUUGUUGUCGACUGCAUGUGAGCGUUCAUGAUGAGACCCGAAAGAUGGUGAACUAUGCCUGAGUAGAACGAAGCCAGGAGAAAUCCUGGUGGAAGUUCGCAGCGCUUUUGACGUGCAAAUCAAUCGCCUGACUUGGGUAUAGGGGCGAAAGACUAAUCGAACCGUCUAGUUGCUGGUUCCCUCCGAAGUUUCCUUCAGGAAAGCUGGCGUGUGUGAAUUAGUUUUACCCGGUAAAGCUAAUGACUGGAGGGAUCAGAGUUAUAAUAUCUUUGACCUACUUUCAAACUUAAAACGGAUAAGAUAUUGUCCGCUGCUUUGACGAGCGACAAUUGAAAUACCCCGCGCCAAGUGGGCCAUUUUUGGUAAGCAGAUCGGGCGCUGUGGGAUGAACUGAACGGCGAGCUACGGCGCCCGACACACUUCUCAGAAGACACCAUGAAAGGUGUUAGUCGAUAAUGACAGCAGGACGGUGGCCAUGGAAGUCGGUAUCCGCCAAGGAGUGUGUAACGACUCACCUGCCGAAUCGACUAGCCCUGAAAAUGGAUGGCGCUAUAGACGUGGACCUAUGCUCGACCGUCGAGGUGUCCCUGCCUCGUGUGCAACGCGACGACAUUGAAUGUCAAAAGCUCUCGGCGAGUAGGAGGGCGAACACGUUGACUCGGAAGCGUUCGGUGUGAGCCGGCGUGGAGUUGGCGAUCUUGCAGAUCUUAGUGGCAGUAGCGAGUAUUCAAGAUAAACGUUUGAAGACUGACGUGGAGAAGGGUUCCAUGUGAACCUCGUUUGUACAUGGCUCAGCCGAUCCUAAGAGUGUGCGAAAUUUUGUGAAAUAAUGUGGGGCGUCCUGGCGUCCGUUCAAUUAAAAGGGAAUCGGGCUAAGCUUCCCGAGCCAGGAGACGGAUUAUGAUCGCUUUUUUCGAACAAGUGACACACGAGCGGUGACGCUAGCAAACCCAGAGAGUGCCAUGCGGUGUCCGGGGGAGAGUUCUCUCUUCUUUGUUAGGCAAGCUUACCCUGAAAGCGCUUUUUUCGGAGACAGGGUUUAACUGCCGUAUUGCGGAGUGACUUUUGCGCCGCACCGUGCGCACUGUGUGGCCCGUGAAAAUCUGGGGGCGCAUAUGUUUGUCUUGUUCCUGAUCGUACCCAGUUCCGCAUCAGGUCUCCAAGGUUCAUAGCCUCUAGUUUAUGGGACAAAGCAGGCAAGGGAAGUCGGCAAGUCUGAUCUGUACCUUUGGAAAAAGGAUUGGCUCUGAAGGCUGAGUUGAUCGGGGCUGUUGCCGAAAGGGACGGCUGCGUUUGGGCAUGGUCGACGGCUCGCCUCGCAAGGGGCUGGCUUCAGAUCAGACUCUCGCGCUCUCUGUCUUGCCGACGGCUCCAGCUUGUCACUGCACAGUGCCGUCUUGGCAUCGUGUAAGAAAUCGGUCAACGGUGAACAGCCGCAUCAGAACUGGUACGGACAAGGGGAAUCCGACUGUCUAAUUAAAACAGAGCAUUGCGAUAGCCGUCACCGGUUUUGACGCAAUGUGAUUUCUGCCCAGUGCUCAGACUGUUAACGUGGCGAGAUCUAAAUAAGCGCGGGUAAACGGCGGGAGUAACUAUGACUCUCUCGAGGUAGCCAAAUGCCUCGUCAUCUAAUUAAUGACGCGCAUGAAUGGAUCAAUGAGAUUCCCACUGUCCCUGUCUGCAACCCAGCGAAACCACAGCCAAGGGAACGGGCUUGGGGUUUGACGGCGGGGAAAGAAGACCCUGUUGAGCUUGACUCUAGUCAGUUUUUGUGAAGAAACGUGAAAGAUAUAGGAUACGUGGGACCUUCGGGGUCAUUGAAAUACCACUGCUUCCAUUGUUACUUGACUAACUCGAUUAUCUUGUUGGCGAAGUUGCUUAUUCUCUUAUCACACAUGUAUUUCUUGGUUCGGUCUACGAGAAUUUAUUACUCGAGAACUCUGGCAGAUUGGGAGUUUGACUGGGGCGGUACAUCUACUAAAGUCUAACGCAGGUGUCCAAAAGUAAUCUCAGCGAGAACAGAAGCCUCGCGAGGCGUAAAAGGGCAAAAGUUUGCUUGAUCUUCACUUCCAGUACGGGUAUGGACGAUGAAAGUUCGGCCUAUUGAUCCUUUUGAAUUUUACGGAUUUUGAGCAAGAGGUGUCAGAAAAGUUACCACAGGGAUAACUG
rnacentral:rRNA from 1 species